UGACUCCUUAGUGCUGGAAAGAAAGGGCGUGAAAGACUACAGGACAUGCGCAUGUCCUAUCGUCUUUCACGCCUUGUCUUUCUAACGCCAUGGCAUAAUUUCUAUCAUGCCUUCUGUGUGCGCUUCGGUCUUCUAACGAGCAUCCCAUCUGUUUCAGGUCGCAUGAUUCGGUGUUCUUCAUCUCAUCCGCUUGAGCGGAUGGGGCGAAUGAAGAACACCGCGUCCUGCGCAACGGUCAUGCGUAAUAGUGCAGGUGUCCUGCACAGUUGCGCAUGACGUCUUGCCCGACGCCGCCCUACACCGGUUCGCCUCGUCAACUUUCGCUUCUGGCAAAAGUUGAUUCGGCGUUCUUCCCCGGCUGGAGCGUGCCAUCCGCUGUGUGGUACCUCUCCUCUGCAAACUGUUGGUGUCGCCAGGGCCACGUGCUGCUAAC
rnacentral:lncRNA from 1 species